UACGGAGGGAGCUAGCGUUGUUCGGAUAUACUGGGCGUAAAGCGCACGUAGGCGGCGCCGUAAGUCAGGGGUGAAAUCCUGGAGCUCAACUCCAGAACUGCCUUUGAUACUGAAGAUCUUGAGUUCGGGAGAGGUGAGUGGAACUGCGAGUGUAGAGGUGAAAUUCGUAGAUAUUCGCAAGAACACCAGUGGCGAAGGCGGCUCACUGGCCCGAUACUGACGCUGAGGCACGAAAGCGUGGGGAGCAAACAGG
rnacentral:rRNA from 1 species